rnacentral:rRNA from 1 species
CCAGACUCAUACGGGAGGCAGCAGCUAAGAAUAUUCCGCAAUGGACGGAAGUCUGACGGAGCGACGCCGCGUGGAUGAAGAAGGCUGAAAAGUUGUAAAAUCCUUUUGUUGAUGAAGAAUAAGGGGAAGAGGGAAUGCUUCUCUGAUGACGGUAAUCAGCGAAUAAGCCCCGGCUAAUUACGUGCCAGCAGCCGCGGUAACACGUAAGGGGCGAGCGUUGUUCGGAAUUAUUGGGCGUAAAGGGCAUGUAGGCGGCUAUGUAAGCCUGAUGUGAAAUCCUGGGGCUUAACCCUAGAAUAGCAUUGGGUACUGUGUAGCUUGAAUUACGGAAGGGAAACUGGAAUUCCAAGUGUAGGGGUGGAAUCUGUAGAUAUUUGGAAGAACACCGGUGGCGAAGGCGGGUUUCUGGCCGAUAAUUGACGCUGAGAUGCGAAAGUGUGGGGAUCGAACAGGAUUAGAUACCCUGGUAGUCCACACUGUAAACGAUGUACACUAGGUGUUGGGGCAAGAGCUUCAGUGCCAAAGCAAACGCGAUAAGUGUACCGCCUGGGGAGUAUGCCCGCAAGGGUGAAACUCAAAGGAAUUGACGGGGGCCCGCACAAG